GUCGAGGGGCAGCAUGAACUUAGCUUGCUAAGUUKGAUGGCGACCGGCGCACGGGUGAGUAACACGUAUCCAACCUGCCGAUGACUCGGGGAUAGCCUUUCGAAAGAAAGAUUAAUACCCGAUGGCAUAGUUCUUCCGCAUGGUGGAACUAUUAAAGAAUUUCGGUCAUCGAUGGGGAUGCGUUCCAUUAGGUUGUUGGCGGGGUAACGGCCCACCAAGCCUUCGAUGGAUAGGGGUUCUGAGAGGAAGGUCCCCCACAUUGGAACUGAGACACGGUCCAAACUCCUACGGGAGGSAGCAGUGAGGAAUAUUGGUCAAUGGACGAGAGUCUGAACCAGCCAAGUAGCGUGAAGGAUGACUGCCCUAUGGGUUGUAAACUUCUUUUACACGGGAAUAAAGUGAGGCACGUGUGCCUUUUUGUAUGUACCGUAUGAAUAAGGAUCGGCUAACUCCGUGCCAGCAGCCGCGGUAAUACGGAGGAUCCGAGCGUUAUCCGGAUUUAUUGGGUUUAAAGGGAGCGUAGGCGGACGCUUAAGUCAGUUGUGAAAGUUUGCGGCUCARCCGUAAAAUUGCAGUUGAUACUGGGUGUCUUGAGUACAGUAGAGGCAGGCGGAAUUCGUGGUGUAGCGGUGAAAUGCUUAGAUAUCACGAAGAACUCCGAUUGCGAAGGCAGCUUGCUGGACUGUAACUGACGCUGAUGCUCGAAAGUGUGGGUAUCAAACAGGAUUAGAUACCCUGGUAGUCCACACAGUAAACGAUGAAUACUCGCUGUUUGCGAUAUACAGUAAGCGGCCAAGCGAAAGCGUUAAGUAUUCCACCUGGGGAGUACGCCGGCAACGGUGAAACUCAAGGAAUUGACGGGGGCCCGCACAAGCGGAGGAACAUGUGGUUUAAUUCGAUGAUACGCGAGGAACYUUACCCGGGCUUGAAUUGCAACUGAAUGAUGUGGAGACAUGUCAG
rnacentral:rRNA from 1 species